AUCUGGGGUUUUACAGUGUUAUUUUAAAGCACCAAUGAUUACUUUGCAUAUUAUGUCCAGAUAGAUUACUUGCUCAGUUAAGAAAAUUUGAAAGAAACAAAAUAUAAAGGUGGUGGCAAAAUCUAUUUUGCUGGUCCCAGAAGUGCAUCCCUUGGCAUUGUAUUACUGGGCCAAGACAAAGGAUGUUUGGAGGGAUCUCAUCAUGCUCCUGAACAGACAGAAAUGUCUCUGAUUAACACAUACUCAAUAGGCUUGGAAAAUUAGUACUCCUUCAGCAAGUCACAGCAACAAGUGAAGCAUCUGUUGCUUCCUCCAAGUUAUAAUAAUCAUUUUGCAAUUAUCCUUUGCAUGCUUUGAAUUUCUAUUCUUAUUGAGGAAGGCAGGAUUUGUGGCACUGUUGGAAUGCACAGUGUGCAGACGUGCAUGGCAAAGAAGAAUAGGACAUAACAGUGGUCUCUUACUGCUGUGCUUUGCCACCUCAAGGCCAACAAUUUUGCCAGUCCAUACUAUUUGCACUCACCAUAUUAAUUCCACUCUAUACACAAUGAGAAUUAGUCCCAUUUCAGUAGCUUGGCUCCAGCCUGUUCCAAGGUCAGUGCCAGUGACCACUGUUGCAUGAAGCUCCACAAUGCUCUAUCUGCAGCCAAAGAGGCUGCUUCAGGCUGCAUCCCCUCACCGAUGUGCAGCUGGAAUGGUGCAGAUGCUCGUGGUGUAAACAGCACCAAAACAAACCAUGCUAAGAGAAAACCACAACUGUGUUGGAAUAGCAGACUGAGCAUGGCAGCAAACACGUGCAGCUGCACUCGGAGGAGGACAACACUGCUGAAGCCAGGUCCAUGAGCAGCAAAACAAGGCACAGACGUGGUCACAGCCUGUUACCGGCAUGGAACUCAAGCACCAGCCCGUGGUGUCACAGUGGGUGUCACAGUGGGACUGUUUCUCCCACCGAUAUUGGUCAGAUGAACAAAUAGCUCCCUGAUACACUUAGAAGAAUAACUUCACAGUAUGGGUUUACAAAUGACUGGAACCAGAAGCCUUGCUGGAUUUUUUUUUUAUUUUUUAUUUUUUUGCAUUAUUGUUAUCUGCCCAGCAAAUGCCACUUGGCCAGCUAGUGAGAGGCUUGCUAGGAGAAUUUGUGACUCAGCUGUAAAACUGCAGCCUGAAGAUAAGACAGGAGAGGUGUUGGGAAAGUCUCAUCUCUGUCAUCUCUACUCCUUUAGAGCUGUGGACGCCGAAGGCUGCACUACUGAACAAAAUGUAAAGAGGGAAGGACCCCCAGAAGAUCACUAGAACUGACAUCAGGGAUCAACUGUAUGAAUUCCAUUCUAAAGGCACAGGACUCUGCACUGACCCUUGCUGAAGUUCCUCUCCACCCCAGCUCUCUAGGCUGCCAUUCAGUGAGACCUGGCCAGCACAGCCUUCUGGUGUGUCAACGUCUCCUGUCACACUCCUGCCUGAACACUGAUAGAUGCUUGGAUUCCACACAGAAUUUUCUAUUGAAGGAGACAGCUUUAAGGAAGUCAGAACUCAUAAAAAUAGAACACAACUUGAAAUAAGCCAGUAAACAGUGACGCAUCAGUCAUAUUCUAUCCUCUUCAAGUUCCAUGAGCAUUUUGGAAGGUACUAAGUAAACAUGCAUUAUGUCUAAGAUACUUCCUGGCAAUAUUUUUAACACAUACACAAGAACUCUGUCACAUUAAGGUGCCAUCUAGAGAUGAAUGUUUAAAAGAAUGACUCUCAGAAGAUGUUAACUUCUUACUGUAUAACACUGUCCUUCAUUACCCUCAAAAGAAAAUUUUAUUUGUAAACCACCUACGUUUGAAGCAAAUUUAGAAAGUGAGCAAACGAACACAAGAGCAUGGUGUAAUCUGGUGCCAAAUUCUCAGUGGCCAGGGAGAUGCCACAAGUGGAACAUGUCCAAAGAAUAAGCUUCUGGAAAGAAAAAAAUAUACAUAUUAUAUUACAUUAAACAGUCAAAAUGGGGAUUAAAAUUAAUCCCUUAAACAACUGUGAAAUAGGGCUGAAUCUGUUGCAGUAUUUUUCAGAUGGAAAUGUUUAUUUGGAACCUGCAUCUCCAGUCCUAUUAAAAAUUUACUUUGUAUAACUAACAUGUGUUGGAAAGCUUCUGCUCUUGCAAUAAAGUUCAAUUUUGACAGCCACCACUUGCACUCCAUGUGCAACGUUUCCCUCCCAAGUGUUUUAAACCAAACAACGCAUAUUCGUAAGCAUGGACUUAAAUCAAAACAGGCAGACUCAAAAUGUGCUGGUUAUUACUAAAAGAUACAGCUCGCUGCACUUUUUUUCUCCUUUUUCACCAUCAACCAUAGAAAGCUUUAUUCCACGCCUGAUCACACUCGCAGUUACAAAACACGUGGCAAAAGUAACCAUUAACAUGCAAGAUCUGCCAUAUUUCUACUUGCCU